GGGGCUGCGGCUUCAUGGCAGAACAUCUGCCCUCCAUGCAGAAGAUCCCAGGUUCAAUCCCAGGUAUCUCCA